rnacentral:lncRNA from 1 species
ACAGGUAAAGUUAUACAGAAGGGAUAUGAAUAUAAAAACAUUAGCUGAAGCAUAACAGAUUCUGCUCCAACCCUUUACCUUUAUUCUGUGUGUGGCUCCCUGCUAUAAUUAUGUUUCUGGUAAAUAGCAGAUUAUGGGGUUCUGGCUUGUUAAUCGACUUCCCUAUCAUUUUUUUUUAUGGAUGUGUUCAUCUCAUUCACAUACAGACUUAUGAUGACUAAUUGUGUGUUUCUUUCUAUCUUAUUUCUCCUCUCUGUCCUUCCCCUCUUCUCUUUUCAGCCUUUCCCUGUUCUGAAUAAAAGGUAUUAAGUUCUGGAGAGAAAAUCAGUACAAAAGAAUAAUUCAUAUAGAAAAGAUAAUUGAUGCAACUGAAGUAAAUGAGCCUGAAGAGUUAACAGAAGAGGAAUGCAGAAGGAGCACACACUGGUGAAUGUGGUAUUGGCUAUCAUCACCCUUAAGACUGGACCUCCUGGUUACUGUCAAACAGUAAAGUAGACUGACUACUUAUAAUUCUACUAACAGAAUGUCCAGGACCUCUAGUUGAACCACCUGAGGGACAAGAAGAGCUCUGUAUCUAUUUCAACAUGGAAUUGGUGGGAGGCGUGCAAGUCCAGGAGUGAAGAGGAAGAUGGAGACACAUUCUUGGUGGAAUAGACAGUGUGGAAGUCUUAAUGUACUCAAAGAUUUAAGCUUCUGGAAGAAAAACUCAGUAUCUGACAAAAACUGCUGGGAAAACUAGAAAACAGUUUGGCAGAAAUUAGACAUAGACUGAUACUUCAUGCCAUAUGCCAAGGAACAACUAACGAAUCUCUACAAGCAUUUUGGAACCAAAGAAGCAUCUACUAAAGAGAGGCCUAUCCCUGAUUGUAAGAGAAAAUGUGUUUUUCGGAACUCAGAUAACUACAUGAGACACUUGAGAUCUGAGAUGAAGUUUUGUUGACAUUGGGGAUAAACUACUAAAAUGCAAAGAAAAAGUCUCAUAUUAAUUUUGUUAAUUGCUAUUAUGUCAUGUUUGUUUUCUGUAAUACUAUAUCUGCAUACUUAGUACAGGGGAUUUAAGAUCAGGACAAUGACACUUUAUUCCAAAAUAUACCUCAACUGGCCUGAUACUUUGCCUCUACCUUUAUUCUAUCUGAAUUGGUGACAAAAUGGGGAUUGGCAACACAUAGUUUCCCUGACAAAAGCAAGGUUAAGCGAAAAGGGAGAUCAAAGGUUCACUAAUGUGUCUGUUCAUCAGGAAUGGUGGGGCAAAUCUAAUCUAUAUUUUCAAAGUUUCCU